rnacentral:rRNA from 1 species
GAGCACGUAGGUGGGUUUGUAAGUCAGAUGUGAAAGCCUUCUGUUCAACGGGAGAAUUGCAUCUGAAACUGCUAAUCUUGAGUAUAGGAGGGGAGAAUGGAACUUUUGGUGGAGCGGUGAAAUGCGUAGAUAUCAGAAGGAACGCCGGCGGCGAAAGCGAUUCUCUGGCCUAUUACUGACACUCAGUGUGCGAAAGCUAGGGAGCAAACGGGAUAGAUACCCCGUAGCAGCU